rnacentral:rRNA from 1 species
CUGAGAAACGGCUACCACAUCCAAGGAAGGCAGCAGGCACGCAAAUUACCCACUCCCGGCACGGGGAGGUAGUGACAAAAAAUAACGAUACGGGACUCAUCCGAGGCCCCGUAAUCGGAAUGAGAACACCCUAAAUCCUUUAACGAGGAUCUAUUGGAGGGCAAGUCUGGUGCCAGCAGCCGCGGUAAUUCCAGCUCCAAUAGCGUAUAUUAAAGUUGUUGCGGUUAAAAAG